CUCGUAAUGUUUCGUAAUGUCUCGCAAUGAUUUUCAUAGUCGUUUAAAAGCUCUAAUGUUAAAGUCAGAAUGUGUUUGUGUUAACAUCGAGUUCUGCUGUCUAGAAAAUCGUUAAAUGGUUUCAGACUUUGUUACGCUUCUGUGUUUCCAAAAAUCGUGAAAAUGAAAUUUUGUUUUUCGUGACUCGUGAAAUCGAAAAAUGAUCUUCGUGAUUUCGUGACGAGACCCCCCCCCCCUUUGAAACUAACAGUAUUAUCAUUGAAGUGCUGGAUUUAACUAAAGAUUAUUGAGAACAGAUGGUUGACACAUGUAACUUGUUGAAAACAUUCCACACAUUCCAACCGGCAAUGAACGGCUUCUCUUGAUCAGUUCAAA